UACGAAGGGGGCGAGCGUUGUUCGGAAUCACUGGGCGUAAAGGGUGUGUAGGCGGUCGGGUAAGUCUGAUGUGAAAUCUCACAGCUUAACUGUGAAACUGCAUUGGAUACUAUUCGGCUUGAGAGUUGGAGGGGGACUGGAAUUCACGGUGUAGCAGUGAAAUGCGUAGAUAUCGUGAGGAAGACCAGUGGCGAAGGCGGGUCUCUGGACAGUUCCUGACGCUGAGGCGCGAAGGCCAGGGGAGCAAACGGG
rnacentral:rRNA from 1 species